rnacentral:tRNA from 1 species
CAUUAGAUGACUGAAAAACAAGUAAUGGUCUCUUAAACCAAAAUAUAGUAUACUAGUAGAUACUUCUAAUGA